rnacentral:rRNA from 1 species
CAGGCCUAACACAUGCAAGUCGAACGAGUGCCUUCGGGUGCUAGUGGCGCACGGGUGCGUAACGCGUGGGAAUCUGCCCUGGGGUUCGGGAUAACCGUUGGAAACGACGGCUAAUACCGGAUGAUGAUGAAAAUCCAAAGAUUUAUCGCCCUGGGAUGAGCCCGCGUCGGAUUAGCUAGUUGGUGGGGUAAAGGCCUACCAAGGCGACGAUCCGUAGCUGGUCUGAGAGGAUGAUCAGCCACACUGGGACUGAGACACGGCCCAGACUCCUACGGGAGGCAGCAGUGGGGAAUAUUGGACAAUGGGCGCAAGCCUGAUCCAGCAAUGCCGCGUGAGUGAUGAAGGCCUUAGGGUUGUAAAGCUCUUUUACCCGGGAUGAUAAUGACAGUACCGGGAGAAUAAGCCCCGGCUAACUCCGUGCCAGCAGCCGCGGUAAU